rnacentral:rRNA from 1 species
UACGAAGGGGGCUAGCGUUGUUCGGAAUUACUGGGCGUAAAGCGCACGUAGGCGGACUCUUAAGUCGGUGGUGAAAUCCUGGAGCUCAACUCCAGAACUGCCUUCGAUACUGAGAGUCUCGAGUCCGAGAGAGGUGAGUGGAACUGCGAGUGUAGAGGUGAAAUUCGUAGAUAUUCGCAAGAACACCAGUGGCGAAGGCGGCUCACUGGCUCGGUACUGACGCUGAGGUGCGAAAGCGUGGGGAGCAAACAGG